GUGUGUGCUCCAUUUUAUAGCCUGCUGCUGUCAAGGACUCACGGGUUGCGUGAGAAUAAAAAGGGAGUGCACUGUCUGUGCUGCCCUUAAAGCUGGCAGAGAGAAGACGCGGGAAGUAACAAGUUUUUGGUUUCUGAAGACUCUUUUAAACAGUUUAUUUCAACUUUCCUUUUAAAGAAACAUUUUUAGUCCGAUAAGUCGAACGUCACAAAGAUCAAGGACAAGAUGGCUUCAAAGCAGGGACAAGGCUUGAGCGCGAAAGGUUACAGUGUUGCCACCGCCAGAGACAUCAAAGACCUAAAAGGAAAAAACCUCAACUUAAAAGUUGAAACAGGAGGUGGGGACACUGUGCUUUGCGCUGAUAAAGUAUCUGGUGUCGCUGUUGAAGGCGAUCUCGAUUUCUCAGUGAACACGUCCACAGCUGGUGCAGGUAACA